rnacentral:rRNA from 1 species
UACGGGGGGGGGCAAGCGUUGUUCGGAAUUACUGGGCGUAAAGGGCGCGUAGGCGGUUUGCUAAGUUGAAUGUGAAAACUCUGGGCUUAACCCAGAGCCUGCAUUCAAUACUGGCAGGCUAGAGUUCUGGAGGGGAUAGCGGAAUUCCUGGUGUAGCGGUGAAAUUCGUAGAUAUCGGGAGGAACACCAGUGGCGAAGGCGGCGAUCUGGGAAGAUAUUGACGCUGAGGUGCGAAAGCGUGGGGAGCAAACAGG